AAAAAAAAAGGCAGAUGACAUAGGGCCUUGUGGGCCUUGGUGAGGAGUUUGGGUUUUAUUCUCAAUGCAAAACAAAGCCACUGAAGCAUUCUCAGCCGUGAGGAUCUAGUAUGCUUUGAAAGAAAAAUAAAUAUUUUUUGACUUUAUGUGUUGUAUAAAUGGAAGGGGAAGAAGUAUGGAAAGAAUUUAAACUCUCAGUUGGAAGCAUAUUGCAGGGAAUAGAUUUCAAAAAGACAGAAUGAAAAGAAGAAAAAAUAUUUGAGAUAUACAAACACACAUACAUAUAUAUGUAUAUACAUUUGCGGUUGGGCAGAAGAUACACACUUCAGAUUAAUUCUCUUUUGGUCCUCUAAAUUUUAACAUUGAGAAACAUUACUGUUUCCUUAGUUCUUAAAAAUUUUCCAUAACAAUUUGCUUUGCUAACAAAAACCAAAGAAAUAAAAAUCCCUAUUAUCUAACUUCUGUUGCAAUUAUUAUGCCUAUUCCUUCAUUUUUCCUCUUAAUGAAAAGGGGAACAGCUGCUUACUAUCAUCCAUAUUCUUUUCAUAAACUUGAAGUCUGUUAUUAAGCAGUCCAUAAGUUUGUGAUGUCUAAUUCACAUGUCAUCAUCCAAAUUGACUACUUGAAGUCAAAAGCACUGAAAGGGACUUAGUCAUUUAAAUGACCAAAAUAACCUGGCAAUUAUCCAUUAUCAAACCUAAACAACGAACAUCAUAUUAUGAAAGAAAUUGAAUCAGUAAAAAAUACCAGCAAGCAACUUGAAUGCUUUUAAAAAUUUGACUACAAAAGUCAUUAUGUUGUGCACCAGUUGACAAGAGACGACACUUUCGUGUUCUUGCCAAACAAAAACGAAAACAAAAAAUUAUAGGAGCCUGUUCUAAGUACUGGGGUAACAACCCUAGACACUGUCUUUGGCUUCACAGAGAUAACAGGCCAGAUGGGCAUUGAGACAAGUGAACAGGCAGAUGGAAAACAGCAUGGUGAGUAAUACAGAUGGUGGGAAGAACAGGGUACUAUGGCAUCUGCUGUGGAAAGAAGAUAGAUCUAGGUGAUGGUUAAGUCUAAGACAAAGGAGGAGUAAAAUCAUCAAGGAAAGCAGGAGAGAGGGAAGGAAGUGGAAAGCAGACAAAAAAAAAAAAAAAACAACAGCAGCUGUAGAAGCCUGAGAAGAUGAGAGAGUCAAGUCCUUAGAGGGACUGAAAGCAGAGACAUAACGGCACAAAACGAGAUGGGAAAGUGACGGAGCAAUACAUGAGUCUGUAAUGAGUGUAAUUGAUGCCUUUGUUUUCAAAUGAGAUAUUUCUGGAGUGAUAAAUCUGGAUCUAUGGAUCUUACAUAAGGGAUUUAGGUGGGCAGCAGCACUUGGUUAUUUACAAGUUCAGGAUCCUGUUUAUAAAGCAAGGAAAGAUUGCUAUCUGUCUCCAGCACUAUGGCGAGAUAAUUAAUAGGAGCACUGCUGGAGACUGAUAGUGCAGGCGGCCGAUACCCAUGGCAGGAGCUCUCGUCAUCUAACUGCCACAGAAUUGUGAAGGUAAAGAAUCUGCAGAAAAGUGGAACAUUCAUUUUUACUAAAUAAAUGCAUUAUCUAUAGCACA
rnacentral:lncRNA from 1 species